UUCUCUUCUCAAAUCCUCCCUUGUUCUCGAUAAGUUCGAGUGGGUUAAGGGCCAGUCCCUCCGCCAACCCUCCGUCUCCGUCGUCCGCUGCCACCCCACCGCCGCCCCAUCCACUCUCAUCGUCCGCGCUGGCUCUUACAAUGAUGAGUUGGUCAAAACCGCCGUAAGUAUAAUAAUAUUCUCUUUUACACUCCAUUCCUCUCUUCUUUCUCACUUCCAACUGAUGUUUUCAAAUAUCAAGACAAGUUUUGAAUACUUAAAAACACUACGGUUUUGAUAUUUUUUAUAUAAAUAAUUUGACUGCAUGAGAUUAUAAGAUAGGAAACGAUGCCUAACUUUAAAUAGAUGUUUUUCAAUAUUACUUCUAAACGUGAAAAUUAUGGUAUGAAAAUAUGGAUAGAAAAGCUAAAACAAGACCUUUCAACUUUCUAAAUUUUUGCUUGCUGAAACCCAGAGGUGAUGGAUUGUUGUAGGAAACUCUGUCAUCUCUAUGUAGCUCAAGCAGUUGUCCAGUAAACCUCUGUCAUCGAACAAUUUUAUUUUUUAAAGAAAAGAUAGAAUUCUUUGAAUCUUUUUGUGUGUCCAUUCUAUUUUGAACCCAUUUCAUUAAUGAGUUACUUUAUUGUAUUUUUCACUUUCUACUCAUGUUUCCAUAAACCAUACCAAGUUUUUAAAACUACUUUUACAUUUAUUUAUUUAUUUUGUUCUUAAAGAGACUUGAAAACUACAGGAACAAGAUGAGAAUAAAUAAAAAUAAAUUUAAAAAUCUUUACUAAAUGGAGUCUUAAUCUUUCAACUUGUGUUGUGUUGUUGCAGAAAACUGUGGCAUCUCCAGGACGUGGAAUUUUGGCCAUGGAUGAGUCAAAUGCAACUUGUGGAAAGCGUUUGGCUUCCAUUGGAUUAGAAAACACAGAGGCCAACCGUCAAGCUUACCGAACUCUUCUCGUAACUGCACCCGAACUCGGCAAGUACAUCUCCGGUGCUAUCCUCUUUGAAGAGACUCUCUACCAAUCCACUGUCGAUGGCGAGAAGAUAGUCGACGUUUUGGUCAAGCAAGGCAUUGUCCCUGGAAUCAAAGUUGACAAGGUAAGACCAUUGUCCCUAUAUAAUCCUAAUAGAAAUUCAAAAAGGCAUUGGAAAUUUUGAGAGUUUGAAUUCAACAAAAAGGCUUGGCUCCGGAAAAGAAAAAAAUUAACCUGUUUUCGUAGUGAACUAGCUUGUUUGUUUUUAUUAACAUAGAUUCCUCUGUUUUUCCAACGUCUGUAAAAAAAUAAACAGGGUUUGGUGCCACUUCCUGGUUCCAACAACGAAUCGUGGUGCCAAGGUCUCGACGGCCUUGCUUCUCGUGCUGCUGCUUACUACCAACAAGGCGCUCGUUUCGCCAAAUGGUACAAAUCAUCAUUCAUUUCAGCUUCAUUUAAUAAAAAAACCCGUCUUAUUUCAAAUUUUUUUUAUAAACUAAAUAGUUAUCAAGCGUUUUCGAAAUCCCAAAACUUGAAAACACUGACAAUGUUAGUUUCCAGGCGCACAGUGGUGAGCAUUCCCAACGGCCCAUCAGCCCUUGCCGUCAAGGAAGCCGCCUGGGGUCUUGCUCGCUACGCUGCAGUCUCACAGGUCUCAACAAAUCAAACUUUUAAUAAUACCCCAUUUUGAUUUAUUAUAACUUGAUUUUGAAUUUGCAAUUUGCAGGACAAUGGGUUGGUUCCGAUCGUCGAGCCGGAGAUCUUGCUUGACGGUGAGCACGGGAUCGACAGAACCUUUGAGGUAGCACAGAAAGUUUGGGCAGAGGUUUUCUUCUACCUUGCAGAGAACAAUGUUUUGUUUGAAGGAAUUCUUUUGAAACCAAGCAUGGUUACUCCUGGAGCUGAGAGCAAAGACAAAGCAAGCCCUCAGACAGUUGCUGAGUACACUCUUUCUCUUCUCAAAAGAAGAAUCCCUCCUGCUGUUCCUGGAAUCAUGGCAAGUCAUUACAACAUAUCUUAAACUUUGAACGCUUAUUACCCUUAGAUGAUAUAAAUUAAAUUUAUCUUCCUCUAUUAACUCAAACUUUUAGAAUAAUUGGUGAUUUAAGAUGGUAUAAAAGGAUGUCAUCUAGAAAGUCAUGCGUAUUAGUUAUUAGCUCAACGUUUUAGGUAUAACGGUGAUUUGAGAAUUAAGUUGAUGAAUUGAAUGUGGGUUGUUUUUCUGUGGUUGUUGUGGAACAGUUUUUAUCAGGUGGGCAAUCUGAGAUAGAGGCUACAUUGAACUUGAAUGCGAUGAACCAAGCACCAAACCCAUGGCAUGUGUCCUUCUCAUAUGCUAGAGCUCUCCAAAACACUUGCUUGAAGACAUGGGGUGGACUACCAGAAAAUGUGAAGAUCGCACAGGAUGCUCUGAUUCAACGAGCCAAGUCGAACUCCCUCGCCCAGCUUGGGAAGUACACCGGUGAGGGUGAGUCCGAAGAAGCCAACCAGGAUAUGUACGUCAAGGGCUACACAUACUAAGCUUUUCUAUAGAUCAAGAAGAUGAAAGAAGAAGAAGAAGAAGAUGAUGAUGGUUGAAGACUAAUUGCUAUGUUUAUUGUGUUUAUGAUGAUGAUGCUUUAUAGCAAUUUAAAAAGAACAAAAAAAAAAAAAACUAUUUUUGUGUAUUCUUAGCAGCUUAAUGAACAUUUUGGUGAUGAUUUUUAGUUUAGUUUGUCUUCUUCUCAAAUCCUAUGUAAGAUGCUUGAAUUCGCAUUAAUCAUGAGCAUAUAUAAUAAGGCUUUUCCUUCGGUCUCAAGAUUUCUUAAUUAUUUCAUAUCAAGAACAACUAACAUAUAUGGAUGGAAAAAAACUAAAAUCAUAAAAGAAAAUAAUAGAAAUUCACGGGCCAUAGAAUUUAAGUAUACUCUAUCCAUUUAGUGGGAGUAAAUUUGAUGAAGAAGCAUUCGUUUUGUAAGAGCCUCAAUUAAAACUAAAAGAACAUUUGGGUAGGAGCUAUUUAGUUGUAGGGCCAUGGACUCAUUGAACCAAACACCAAACUCAACUCUUUGAACCAAAUACCCUUGUAAGAAAUUCAAUAAAUUUUGUGAUCCAUGCAUUAAGAUAAGAAGAUUACAAACAUAUUUCUAUCAAAAGUGUAAUAUUUUAACGUGUAGAGUGAAAGAGACAAGUGCAUGGUAUGGAACCACCCACUUAGCUUGAGAAAUGGCCACUUUCAACAAGGUUAGAAAUUUUUUGGAUCCUACUUGAUUUGAUUUUGAUCAUUCCUGGCUCUGCUUUCUAUGCCAUAAUCUCACCAUGCAUCCCUUCAAAUGUUUUCUCCAAUUUGGUUUUUAAUCUAAACAAAUUUAAUCAAUUUUGUGACUUAUAAAACUAUUUGUUGAUCUAUGUAACAUUGAAAUCAUGGAGAUCGACUUAGUUGAGAGAAGAAAUAAGCAAAAACUUCAAACAAAAGAACAUGGUGUUGUUUGAGGAGAAAUUGAAAUUUAAGGUGAGAAGUUUAAAACAACAAAAUUUGCAACCACAAAUUUGUAGGAUUCUUUUCUCAUAAAUAACAUUAAAAUACUUUCAUCUUUCACAAUUAGUUCCCUCUUAAGAAAUUAGCUUAAAUAAUAAUCAUGAGCAUAUUUAUAAUUAUCUUAUUUUUCAAAUAGAUUUUACCAAUUAUCUAAAUGCAUCCCAAGGUGGCUGAAGUGCAGUUUUUAAAGUUGGAAAAGACUGGUAAGAUUUGAAAAAAAAUAUAUGAUCCCAUCCUAAACUCUGGUGGACAUUCCAUAGACAGUGCUAAAAGGAAAAUCAAUAGUUUAGAUGUAUAGUUACAAUUUUAUUUGAAUUUUCGGGGUUAGUUUCAUUGUGACAAAAUAUAAGAGCAUUAUAACUUAAUAUAUGACCAUGCAUCUACAAAUAAUUUCAAAUAACAAGCCAUGAAAUGAAAGAAUGCGAAUGUAUUUUACAUCAAACCAAAACCAGGCUCGCCCAUUGCACCACUAAAUGCCUAGAACACCAAGAGGUCAACCAUCUCUUUAUAGUUAGAAAUUACUCACUUUUGCAUGAAGGAAUGACAUAUGUCAAGACCAACCAUGUAGCACGUUAGGCAAACAUCCAUCUAGAAAAGUACUCCGAACACUUUCUAACUUCCUUCUCAAAAGAAAGAAGUGAAUCAAAUUAACAAAAUUCUAACUUUAGGAGACAAAAUAAGCACUUGAAGUGAAACUUGAAAACUCUGGAUAACAAAACGAAUAAGUUGAACUAGCCAACAAAGUUAGAUCCUUAGUGAACCAACUCUUCACUUGAAUAGUAACUUUUUCUAAUUCUAUCGUUUUCCCAAAAUAAGAAGUGAAGACAACUAAUAGGGAGUGAGGUUAAUGAGAAUCGGGAGAAUUGAAAACUCCUCAAUCUCACCCACAUUAUUAACUAAUGAGGAGUGAGGCCAACUAGAAUUACGAACACUAAAAUCUCCUUAAUCUCACCAACAUACAUGUUAGAAAAGAAAACAUUGAAUUGAUCUUCAUAUCAUUGACAACCGGAUCAAAUGACAUCUAAAACUCAAACAAUCUCAACAAAACUCAAAGAAUCGGAUCUAAACAUUAGAAAUUAACAAAUCAUCAACAAAACAUAAAAAUGAGUAAAAGAUGAUUACAUGUAAAGGAAGGUUUAAACUCUAUUAACCUUAUUUAUAGUCUUCAACAUGAAGAUAAUUUAGUUAAUAAAAAUCCAAUUUCGACUUUCUCAUUCCACUUUUCCUUAGAAAAAAAAUUAUAUAAAGGAUUAAAAUGUUUGAUAAUUGUACCUUUGCUAAUAACAAAAUUGAAAAUCAAUACAAAUUCAUCAAACAAAAUGAUUGAUUUAGCCAUUAAAAUUUUUAUUUGCCAUGAAAUUAAAUACUUAACCCAAAUAAAGUAUAAUUAAAUGGUGUCUCAAAACCAAAGAAAUUUUGAAAUGAUUACAAGUGAUUCAAAAUAAUGUUUUUUUUUAAAAAAAAAAUAGAACCAACAAAAUAAUAUAACACUACAAUUAAAAAAUAUAUAUUUUUUUGGAUAAAGUGCAUAAACUUAUAAAGUAUGGUAGUAGUUGUAAUUAGAAUUGCUCGACUAUCCACACACAUCCUCCUUCCUCCAUCAUUUUCUGGAGUAAGAAGAGUCGUUUUGAAAAUGGACUCAAACUUUUGGGCUCAUUCAAGUUUGUAAGUUUUUCUUUGAUUUUCUUGAAUUUCUCCUUGCACUUCUUAGCUAGGGAAUUGUAGAGUUGACUUCUUCUUCCUCGUGCUAGAGACUACCAAUUCAAACAUAUUAGUUUUUUUUUUCUUUAGUAAGUUUCAUCAUGUCGUUUAAAUCUCAUAUAGAAGCCUCAAUAGAAGCGUAUGGUAGAGGAUCUUGGAGAGAGGGCGACGAUCUUCUCCGCCUCUUGUUCUUGGUGAGCAUUCCCACCACGUAACUAGUUUCUCAUUUUCGCCAUCAAUCCAAAGAUUUUCUUGAAGUUUUAAUACCAAUUUGGUGUAAUACUAAUAUCUGAAUUUUUAUAAAAUGAUUUCUUCCACAAUUAAGGAGAGAUGAACUUUAUUUAUAGUGAGAAGUGAUUCCAAGAACGUUACAAAAAUAGUUACAAAAAUGAGACUCACCCACGAUACCAAUUGGGUCCCUAAACUUAAUUAUUAUAAUUUUAAAAAUUAAACAUUCAAAUGAUAAAAACCAAAUCCUCAAGCUCAUACACUUAUUACAACUUAUACAAUUAUGUGAAUUUGAAAGUUCACUUUAACAAUUGAAUAAAGUUUAGGGCUCAAUUUUUAAAUUUAAAAGUUUAAGAGUAUAAUUACAACUAUCAUCGUACUUUAUAUGCUAUUUGUCACAAUCACAAACUUUCAUACACAGGACGAAUGAUUGUGCAACACUUGUUAUGCUCAGUCAACAAAUAAGACAUGCAAAAUUCAAAAAUUGCAAACAAACUCACUAUAUGAUGUAAUCUCCUUUCAUAUUCUUGAGAAAAUUGUUUAAUAAAACAUGAGAGAGAGAGAAAACCAUUGAAAACACCAUUAAAGAAAACAUUGAAGACUCUUAAUUGCAAAGAAAGUUUUGCUUGCAAAGAGUAUGACAAAACUUGGUCAGAGAUUCAACUAGUGGGUUUCUCCUACAGUACAUUUUAAACUUUUUUUAGCUUUGACAAAGACGUCAUACCCAAAGUUGACAACAUAAAAAGGAAAAGCAAUAUACUAAACUAAGUACAAACAUAAAAAAAAAAAAGUGGUUUGAGGUAUUUAAACAUGUCCAUAGAUAAACAACACCCUAGACAACUCGUGACACUAUUUGUGGCAUUUUUUUUGGUGUAUUAAUUAUUGAAUUGUAUAUAAAAAUCAAAAUAUAAUAUUUAGCCAAAUUCUUUUACAUUAGUUUACAUUAUAAACUUGAUUCUAACUUGAACUUGAGUUUUAAAUUUACAUAUAUAUCUAAUCUCUAAAUUUUCAAAUUUUCUUAGAUUUACAAUCCCACGAUUAACUCUUAAAGUCUUUUUAGAAAAACGAAAAUUUAAAAUACUAAUUAAAUAAUUAGUAACAUUUUUGGACAAAAUAACACAAAAAUCAAACUUUAUAUAUAUAGAUGACUUUAGAGAAUUUUGAAACCCAUCAACGGUGACGGAAUAUAAACCGCCGGUUAUCUCUAAUUCACAUAAAAAAGAAAAAGAGUAAAAAACGGUGCGUUGAUGCAUGAAAAUCGUUUAGACGCCGUUAUCUCCAUUGUUGGUCCAAAUCAAAACAAAACCACAAUAAACAAUAAAUACAAAAGCCAUCUGAAGAAGAAGAAGAAGAAGAAGGAGAGAAAUGAGCUUUUUGUCGACGGCGGGAUAUUUGGCUCGGCGAGCCGCCCAGAAGGAGAGGGUUCGGAUCCUUUACCGGCGAGCUCUCAAAGACACUCUCAACUGGGCCGUUCAUCGCCAUCUCUUUUACAAAGAUGUAUUUGUUUUCUUCAUCCCCAUUUCCCACUUCAUUGUUUUGACAUUUCUUCGAUCUUGAACUGAUUUUGUCAUUGAUUCUUCUAAUCUCCCUUUGAUUCAGGCGUCGGACCUCCGGGAGAGAUUCGAAGCGCACAGACAUGUGGUUUGUUCUCUCUCUGUUCCUUUGAUCGAUUUUUUUUUUGUUAUUUUUCUAUGUUUUCGUUGAGUAGAAAUUUCAUGCAUUUCGACCUCUUGUGAGUUAAUUGAUAUAGGGGUGUGGAUAUGAAAUGAUGAAGGUUUUUUUUUUUUUUCUUUUUAGGGUGUGCGGCUAGAUUGAUUGUUUGAGCUGUACACUCUUCUUUUACUUGCAUGGAUUUUUCUUUCAAGCAUUUUUUGUGUAAAUUGUCUUGCGUUACUUGAUGGGAUAUUAAAAUGUGGUUUUUAUUGAUAGUUUUGGAUGAAUGAUCUAGUGGAGUGAUUUUGAAAUUGUUAAUUUCACUUUUGUUGUGUUUAAGAUCAUUUUGAAACACAUAUUUGAUUACUCAAAAUCGAAUCAAUGUUUAAUUUUACAUUUUGAGGGCUUUUUUCACUCUUAAAAUUUAUUCUGAUUGAUUAAAAGCAUUUUCAGAGUGAUUUUGAAAAUGAAAAAAAAAAGUGAUUCUAACUAUUUUAGAAUCACUCUUAAACAUGCGGUUAGUCUAUCUGUUCUCUGGGAUGAAUAUUAUUGGUUGAUCUUUGAAUAUCGUCUGCUUAGUGCUUACUGCAUCUGGAGAAGUGUGGAUUUUGCGGAGAAAUAUUCUGAUAUCCUGGUAAUCAAAUAUGACCAUUUCCAGAUUCAAAUUGUGUUAACUUGGAAAUUCAGUAGGAUACAUCAUCUUUAAGGUUUAUGUUGCCCUCAAUUUGUGUUUCAACUAAGCAUGCAUUCUCUUGUGGAAAUUAUUUUCCUAUAAAUUUAAGUUUAACCAUUGAGUUGCUUGUCUAACAUGUGUUUGUUGCUCUCUCUUGAACCAUGGAGUUAAAUAAGAAAAAAAAAGGUUUGAAGACUGAUGUUGGAUGGCAGUUAGAAAGUUAUGAGAAUUAACUUGGAAUUAUACUUGAAACUUCAGAGCUUUGAUAGGUCUUAUUAAUACCGAGUAGGACUUGGAGAUCUGUUCUAGGACAUUAGGUUAAAACUAAAAUAUUAGAUCAGGGAAUUCAAGCUGUGAAAGGUCUACAUGUAUAUAUCAACGUGAUUUUGUUCAGCAAGCUAUGAUUUCUAUGCUAUUGAUCUAUUGUUUAUGGAUCCUUUUUGGGGUGGAUUUGCAGGAAGAUCUUGACACGAUAGAUAGGCUGAUAGAGAAUGGGGAAGCUUCCUAUGAUAAGUGGCGCCAUCCUGAUCCCUAUAUCGGUAAGCACAAUGAUGAGUAAAUUUGGUCGUGUGGCAGUUAAUAAAAAGUAAGGUUGCCAAAUUAAAUGCUUUUACUGAUUAUGUAAUAUGGUAUUGUCAUGAUGAAAUUGACUUCUCUUAAGUUCCUGGUCUUAUACUUUAAUAUCUGUCCUGUAGAUAUCAGGUGUGUUUUCUGUUUAUUUGAAAUGCUGCUAAGUCGUUGAUUUUCUUUUUCUCCCUUUUGAAUAAUAUAAUAGAAACUGUAUUGUUGAACCAAUAUGAACAAGAUAUUUCUAGUUUAAUUUUAAAAAAAGACAAUACCCUAUGGGUUUCUCCAUUCUAAGAAUCAAUUUAGUGGAUUGGAAUUAUAGUAACUAGCCAUAAACUUUAGAUUUUCCUUUAGUUGUUGCUUCUUGAGUAUCCAAGAAUCUAAGAUGCUUGCAUGAAAUUUUUUAUAUUUAUUUAUUUAUAUUUGUUGGGAGGGAUUUUUGCUACCCAAAGCCUGUAGAUUGUUCCUUCUUUUGUUCUAAUACAAUAUCAUUUCAUAUAAGUAAAAAAAUUAUUUUUAAAUGAGAAACGAGUGAUGUAUAAACACAAAAUGAAGAACAACUGUAGGAUAGGGGGAAUGAGAAACCUACUUCUGAUAAGAAGCAACAUAUUAUAUCGAAGCCUUCUAAUUAUUUGUAAUAAUGAGUAGGCUAUAGUAAAAGUUCACAUGGUUUGAAGUUGAACACUGCCUCGUAGUAUGCUACUAUGCUUUAGAUAAAAAAUAAUCCACUGAAGACAACCUAUGUUGAAAAAUUCUCCUAUUUCUCUUCUUCCGUAUCAUGAUUCAAAUUUUCUUGGAAACCUUGGUCUCCUAGUUGCUUAGUGUCCUUAAUUUCUAUAAAUUUAACCCAGGCAUAUGUAUACCAUCCCCUUAACAUCCAUGAUUACAUCAAAGGAACUAGCACCAUAUUAGGUAUGAGGAUAUCUUUGUCACAAGAUCUUCAGUUUUACAUGCCUAUCAUCAUCCUUUGUGAAAACCUUUUCUGAAAUAUAGACUUUUUUUUUUUUAUGAAGUAUGACGGUCUUUGAUGAGUUUGGGAGAAGGAAUCCUCAAUUCUAGAGUAUAUUUUUAGUUGACUGUUAGUUAAGUUGCAGACGUGCGAAUGUAAAAACAAUUUCCCCCCACUCCCUGAUGGUUGCCAGCUCCUACCUAAAACUUUGAAGUAUCGUUUCAUUGUUUGUUUUUCUGUUCUGCUUUGAACAAGACUAUUUAUGCAGUCAUUAAUCCUAAUUUUUUUUUACCUUUACUCUGUAGUUCCAUGGGCUCCCGGUGGUUCUAAGUUUACGAGAAACCCAAUUCCACCUGCAGGGGUAAGUUCUCUUUUGAAGAUUGUUCACGUUUUUCUUUUCGUAAAAUGUUUUAGGUCUUAAUUCCUUCUCACCACUUCAAUCUUUUCUUAAAAAAGGAUUAUUUUUGUUUAUUUGCAUAUGUCUUGUUACUUGUUUUUACGCCUCACGGGACUUUAUAGCUACAUCAUCAAUAACCUUGUCAACUUCUAUUGAUCGUACAGUUUUUUCCCUAUGAAAAACCAUAUAGCAUCAUCAUUAACCACCUCGUCCUCAGUGCUUUUUAAGAGAGGUUACAAUGUAGAAACUACAUAAUAAUUAUAAUGAUCUGUGAUUGGUUUAUUGCUCAAAUGAAAUGUCUACUAAAAUCACAGUUUUGAAAUAUGUAUAGUUUUCAAGUGGCAUUUUUUUCCACAAAGGCCAAAGAUAAGCAUUUGUGUAAGCUAAACGUCCUUUGCCCUAAUCUUGGAGGAAGCACAUGAAAAUGGAAAAGUUGAAGUUCUUUUCCCAGGGGUUAGAGACUUAGAGCAUAGGAACUCAGCUUCACACUAUUUCUCUUUUUUCUUUUUUUGGCUGUUUUAAUCUGAUAUUUUGUUGCGGACUUGAGUUCUCUACACUGUCCUUUGAUAAAUUUGCAUGCAAUUGUUAAGAGUGUAAUCUCAUCAGUCAAUAUAACAUCAACAUCUAUGUGUAAUGAUACAGAUCGAGAUCAUAUAUGACUAUGGGCGGGAAGAUCACUGAAAUCUUCAUUAUCGUGGGAAUAAAUAAAGGUAAGCUUACAUUUGGCUGCUGAUAGCAACAAUGUUUAUUUUCCUCCAUCUGAGUGUAACUCAAGUUGGAUUGUAACUUAAUGAACUAUUAUAUUGUUCUUGUAUUUAAAUUUUAUUUCUUGCUUAUUCGCUUCCUUGCUGAGUUUGUAUCUUUUUUAGCACUAGUCUUGUUUCCAUUUCUUCUAUCAUAUUUUUUAUUUCUUAGAAAAAAAUGUGUUUUGUUCGUAAGGCUGGCUUUACCGAGUGAAAUUCACCCAUUUUGUCUGAUGUUGCUGAAAACAAAAUUUUAAAAAUUGCUCUACUUUUGCAAGUGUUCAAACUGCUUUCUAAAGCAACCAUUUACGUAAUAUUACAAUUAACUAUAAUUCUCGAUAUACAAUGACUCAAGUUUUGGUUACUUUUUGCUUGGAGGUCUAAUGUCGAACACAAUGUUUUGGUUUGACUAUUGCAGGUCGAAAUGGUUCGUGGCCUCAUGAGAGUUGAUGAUGAUAAAAGGAGUUCUUUGAUGUGUAAACUUGAAUGAACACAAUUAUAGUAUUUCCUUGUUGAUUUGCUUUCUAGUUUUUGUUCAGAUAUGCAAAUUUGACAUAGAAAAAAUCACCACUAGAAGAGUGUGUGACAUGCUUCAACUUUUGGUUAAUUUAAGUGUUCAUCCGUUGCAUAUACCUAUUUUUCUGUUAAUGUGACCAACUUUUCUUCUUUUCCUAAUUUGUCUGAUUGCUUGUAAUAAUGGCAUCAGAUGUUGAAAAUGUGAGCGAGGAAGUACAUGAAUUAAAAGACAAUAGGAAAUCCUUUUAGUAUUUGAAAAGCUUUUUGGAAAUUUAAUAAAAUUGUGUUUCUACUUGUUGAAAUAAAAUGCAUAGUUUGUGUUGCCGAUCUAUGACUUUCUGUGCGGCUCCUGUGAAGCCAAUGAAAGGAUGUCUAAAAUGGUUUGUAGCUACGUCCAUUUAUAUGCAUCUUUUGUUUCGAAGGAUUUUUUUUUAAAGAAUGUGUCACCUAAUAGUUAAUAUUAGGUAUACUUCAAAUGGAUUACAGAACGAUGGAAAGGAUCUUAAAAUCUGUCCCAAGUAUUUAUCAAGAGACUCUUUAGGAAGUCCUUUUAAGUAUGAUUAAAAUGUGUGUCCUUAAAACCAUUUCUCUGUGGUAAUUAAUGACCAAAUAGUUAAAAUUAACCCUAUCAUGUUUAACCCUUUUAAAUGUUUUUGAUUUAUCAAAAUCCAUUUUUAUUAAAUGAUGUUGGCAUUUUUAGCAAAUUAUUAAAACUAUUUAUAAAUCGCAGGAACAUUCAUUCUUUAGAAUUUAUUUAAACUUUUUUACUAUAUUUUAUAAUCAAUUUCAUUUUUUUUUCGAUAUCCAUAAUAAAAUAAUUCUCCAUAGUUAUAAGUACUAAAGGGGAAUAAAAUUUAGUUAAUAAAAAUGAAAAUUAGUUUUGAGGUAAAAGUGCAAACCAUUGAAAUAUAGAAUCAAAGAGAAAAAAUGUAACAUUUCUAAGACUGGGUAACUAUUUUGUUAGUUUUUGUUUUUACAAAAGUUAAGCCUAAGAACAGUAGUUUCCUUAUUUUCCUUAAUCUACUUUUCAUCAAUAGUUUUAAAACCAAACCAAAAUUUAUUUGAUAACUACUGACUAAGAAUUCAAGGAUUGUAUCUAAACAAACUAAAUGAAAGUGGAAAGUCGAGAUUAACUAAUAAGAAUCGAAAUAAGGAAGUUUCAUUUACACAUCCUGCUCAUUACAGCCACAACCACAUAAAUGCUUUCUCUCAAGAACUCUUAGUUCAAAUGUCUGUUGGUACAGACAGCCAACAAUGGGAAGAGCAAAUAAAAUCAGCAGUGACUCAUGAUUUUCCCAAUGUACAAUUUUUUAUAUGUAAAAGAAAUUUUUGUGCUAAAUUUUUCAUUUUUAAAACUGUUGCUAUCACAAAAGCAUAUAGAUAAACAAGAUAAAGUAUUGGUCAUCUAAUUUAAUUAAUUAACCUCUUAAUGAAUACUUCUUCCCACCAAAAGGUUGAAACUUGGCCUCUUCUUUCUCUUUAGUCUGCUCUUGCUUACCAUCCUUUUCACCUUCCUGCAAAAUAUCCAUUUAUUUAGUAAGUUAAUCAUUUCAAUUCAAGAUUGACACGGAAUAUUAGCCAUUACAAAUAUAGCGCAACUAUCAUAAACUUAUAGUAUCAAUCUCGAGGUAAGAAAUAUGCAUAUAUCGUAGAUAAUCCUGGUUUAUAAAUGAGUUCAAAGCACUUCCAGACAUUUUAAAAUGACACAGAGCAAGCAGCCAAACCUUUUUAGUUUCCUUGGGGGUUCGGCUUGCAUUUCCUCCAAAAACGAGCUUUCCUUCGGACUGCCUGGAAGCAUUCCGAGAGGUAGAUCCAGAUGAAGGCUGACCAGUGACAGUUCUUGUAUCCACUUGCUUGUCUUUGGAUAUUGAAGUCCAAGAUAGUGGUGCCUGUUGCAUAGAUGGUUUCCCAUCCAAACGCCUCCCAGCUCCAGUGAAGGGAUUGAAUUUGGGUUCAGCUUCUGCAGGUGGUUCCUCAUCUACAAGAAAAAAGAAUAUGCAAAUGCAUUUGGUCAUGUUUCAAAUAUGGAAAAAAGUACAAAUAAAUAAAUAAAAAGAGUUCCCAGCAAAUAAGAUUAGCAAUACUAUUUUGCUUUGUAAGUUCAUGAAGUCACUACACAAAAAUAGUCUGACCUUGGACUGGAGCCUUGCCUGUUGGGAGAGAUGGAACGGGCUUUUCAGGUUCCUUGUAAUCCAAAGGGGGUGCGAAGUCCACUUCACAAUCAGUCUCAAUUAUACUUAUUGCAUUUGAAGGCUUAGUUUCAAUUAUAUCAAUGUAAUAUUUCUUGUUGUUGUAUGCCACCAUGAUACUGUCUCCGGUUGUCAGGCAUGAAAAAUUUCUCAAAGUCGUCUCCAAGCUGUAUGACAUUGAUAGCUAUGUUUAAUUGGAAUAUUAUAAAGAUAUGUUAGUAAUUAAUUAAAGAGUAUGUUAAGCUUGUUGGUUAUAAAGAGAGUAGGGAAGGUGGAAGGUAGGGUGGAAUGAAUGGCUUCGGGGUCCAAGUAGCUCAAAUACUUGAUUUAUCUUAUAAUUCAUUACUGUUUAACUUCAAUAUAUUUGAGUUCCAUUAGAUAUGCAGAAGACUGACUUUCAGAAGCUUUACUCUACAUUAAGUGAACUCUUUUAGUUUAAAGCACAAAGAACUACGUUCAUCUUAUUUCAUGGAAAGAACUUGAGCUGCAUAUUAAUUGUGUUAUAGGGAUUAUAUUUACCAACCUGAGGAUCUAUGUCUACCAUAGAAGCAACAGAUAAUAUGGGAUUUAGCAUAACGACAUGUGAUUGAUACAUUAGACAGAGGUUAAAAGAGCUUGUUGAUAUUUGGAGGAAGAUUGAGAUUUUAGGAUAUGAAAUGUAUUUUAGUAAAAGAAAAGAGGAAAAACUACACACGACAUGAAACAUUUACAAGAGUGGAGGAGCAGGUAUUCAAAAUAUCCAAUCUAGAGAUAAUGUUAAUUCAAGAAAGCCCAUCAGUUAACAAUAACAAAAAUAGAUUGAACUCAAUACCCUAAAGUAUUUUCAAAAUCUUCACGUACAAAAUUACCACAAAACGAAAAAAGAUUUCAACCAUUUCAUAAAGGGAAAUGAUCCAAGUGGUACCUCUUCUCUAGAGGCUCAUAGUUAGGGCAAUGAAGAAAAUAUGAUUGUGUCUUAAUUAUUUUCUUAUUUCGCAUUUAUGAAAUAGUUUCUUAACCAAAAAAAGUAGGCAGAGAGUGUUGUCAGAUUCCUUCAGAAGAUCUACUUCAAACACUGAGAGUCCCCACCUAAAAAUCUUGAAAAUAGUGUUCCUAUUGACAAAGAGAACCUACAAUCUUAGACUCUUAAGAACAAGAAGGAAAAGGGUUUAUCUGUAAACAAUCCAUUUUAAAGCUGACCAUGCCCUGCCUUGCCAAUCUUGAAAGACUACAGUGCGAAUCAGCUAGGGUAUGGUUUCCAAGGGACGCUAGUAGUAGCUGCUUGACCAAGAUUGGCUCUCACCAUUUCUAACAAGAUGACGCACAAAGUGAGUUUCUAGGAGGAACUUCACGACCAAUUAACAAAAAAACUAAUCUGUCCCACACACAGCAAAUCAGAAUCUAUCAAACCUUUUCGAAGAGGGUUUUUGCCUUCUGUUCUUCUGGGAAUAUGGAGGGGUAAAAAUGAUUUGAUUAAAUCAGAAUCACAAAUGGAAAUACGACAAUACCUUAGUAGAAAAUUUUCAUAUAACUUUAACCUUCUUGUUCUUCUGGGAAUAUGGAGGGGUAAAAAUGGAGCAUAGUGUCUAAUUAGAAAGAAAAUCCUGCUUCCACCUAUUACGUCUUCAGACAAUCUUCUGAAUGGGAAGCAAUAGUAAAAUGGGAAAACUAUACCUUCAAACGUGAGACGAUAUUAAAACGAAAAAAGAAGAAGAAAACCUGAUCAAUAAUCUUAAACUCUUAACACCACCGUCAUUCUUGCUCUAGUGAACCCAUCGAAUCUGGGGACUUUACCCAACCCAAAGUCUCAAAUAAUUACUGUGGUCUUAUUCUACCUAAACUAGGCUUCUGCCCCAAAAAAAUUUCUCUGAGACUCAAGAGAGAAGAAAUUUUAAAUCUAAAAACUACGAAGGGUCUCUUCUCCAAGCAAGUGGAACCAAAUAUAUCGUGGUUUUAUUAGCAGAAAUACUACCCAUAAAUCAUGAUCAAGGGCCUCUCAAGUCAAAAAACUUAAAUGUCUCUACUCCAAGGGUCACAACUAUAGAUUGGGGGCAAUAAAAAAUUUAUAAUUAGCAACUCACAUGGCUUUUGGAUUGGAUAUAUCCAAGAAGUCCUUUGUGUGAGGUUGUAAUUUAACAUAAGUUCCCUUCGGCAGUGUAACAUUCUUCACUCUCACAACAUCUCCCUCCUGUAAAAGCAUAUUCUCCAUCAUCUGUGGAGGAAACUAACCAAUCAGUACAUGUUCCUGGAAAGAAAAUGAGAUGAAAAUACAAAUAAGUUUAAAAUGCACUCAGUGACUACCCAAUAAGGCAUAUAGAUCAUUCCCUCUUCAGCAAUGAACUCGAGAACACCACAGUGGGAAAGUCGUUCAGUAACAUCAUUCCGAAGCUCAAACAACAUUGGAUAAUCGAUAUGUAAAGAUGCUGCAGAUAUUAGCUUGAUUUUAAAUUACCAUUGCACAAUACAUGAAGAAUAAUAAAUGUAUUAUGUAUAAAAAUAUUAAGGUAAAAGGAACUAUGUCAUAGAAAACUAGAAAAUACCAAGGCGAUCAAGGGCUGAUGGUGGCAUUAUGACUGAAAUGAAGAGAUAGGCAUACGAAGAUAAGUUAGCACGAAUGGGAUAUUUGACCAUAGAAAGUAACAUAAAUCAUGAGAACUUACUUUUGUCACCAGUUUCAAGUUGUGGCUGCAAAAUAGAUUGAAUAAACAGAGUUUAGACUAGAAAAAAGAUGUUAAGAAUUUAAGAAGAUAUUCCAAAAUACAAAUCAUAUUUUAUCUCCAUGUCUAAAUUCAUCAAGCUAAACAACUCAAGAAGUAGCAACUCAAACUACACAGACACAUUCAUGACUCAAUGAGACCAACAUCCUUCCUGUUAUAAUUUCAUUUCAGAAAUCUUGUUGAUGUGCAUAAUAAGACGAGGAUGACUAAGAAAAUAGAAUGAUGUGGCUACCUUCACUAUCCAGAGACCGAAUAAUGAUGAUUGAAUUAAAACAGCUUUUUGCUGACCUUUUGAAAGAAAACUAUAGUAGCCUAAAGGUAAAUAAUUGAGUUAAAAAAUGAUGUUCAGCAACCUUUUCAAUAAAAGAUGCAGGAUAGCACCGAUAUGUCUGCUCAAAUGAAGUCCCAUGAUAUCCAUACCCGUCGAAGAACUGCACAAAAAUUACAUUAUGAUGUGAUGGUAAGCUUUAAACUUUAAAGAACAAAAAUUAGAAAGAACAAAUAUGUCACUAAGGAAAUAUUCAACAUAUUUAGAACUCAAAGACACGGUUGUACAACCUAUAGAAAA
rnacentral:lncRNA from 1 species